UCCAAUACUUUGGCCACCUGAUGCAGAGAGUUGACUCAUUGGAAAAGACACUGAUGCUGGGAAAGACUGAGGGCAGGAAGAAAAGGGGGCAACGGAAGAUGAGACGGUUAGAUGGCAUCACCAACUCCGUGGACAUGAGUUUGAGUAAACUCUAGGAGAUAGUGAAGGACCAGGAAGCCUGGUGUGCUGCAGUCCAUGGGGUUGCAAAGUGUCGGAUAUGACUGAACGACUGAACAACAAAUGUCAAUCAUACGUAAAAAGAAGGCACACUGACAACAGAGAAGUGAUUUUUAUAUAGUCAGUCAUGGAUGACUCUCCCUUAUUCCUAGUCAUAAAUCAUAAAAUCCAAUAUAAACUCCAAUUUGAUUUCAUUUAGUAGUUUCCAUAUUUCCCCCAUCAUUAAAGAAGCCAGUAUCAGCAGGUAAAUACCCCAAAAUUCACAUUUCUGAAUUUUGGUGUCUCUCUUUCUUAUGCCUUUCUAUGAUAAAAUGACCCAAAAGUAAUCAAAAGGAGAAGUACAUCCAACCCAUUAUUAAAGCAUAUUAAUGCCAAACACUGUUUGACUAAUUUGGAAAAUGUUUUAUAUGAAUUUGGUAGAGUCUGAACAACUUUUAAACUACAGGAAAGUUACCUCUACCAUCUCAAAAGGACUCUUCAUCUCAUUACUCUGCUCACAGCUAUUUCUUUACAGAGAAGCACACUGCCUUUUCUUUUACUAUAACAUUCUUUCCCAAGAAUUCUUUGGCCCCGAACAUGGCUCACUGAGUAGAUACAGUCAACAAUAGUCAAAUGGCCAAUGAUCCAUCUUCAGAGAACUUAAUCACUGACACAUAGGAGAAAACAGUUACGAAUGUAAAUGAAGAAGAGAUUUUUCUAUAAUCUAUUGCCCUCUUUGCAUAAUAAACAGAGUUCAGAACUGUUCAGGAGUUUGCAGUCUUCCAAGAGCCUAUUCAUAUGCCCAAUUGGAGCCAAUAAAAGCUUUCUGUGUAACCCAAACAGAUUCUGUGCAUACUUCUCCCUUGCCUCUCCCUCUGUUGAGUUUCACCUAAAAGUUUUCCUCCUUGUCUCUAAAAUUCUAACUCUAUAUGCAUGA
rnacentral:lncRNA from 1 species